UUCCCAGAAUUCCUCCUCCCACCAGUUUGAGGAGCAGCCCAUCCAGCUGCUCUUCCCGGAGCUCCAGGACAUUCCCAGCAACGUUCUGUGGUUGGAUGUUCAGCCCCUUCCCGGCUCCCGGCACCGUUUGUCGGCCCUGGGCUGCCAGAGCGGCUUCAUCCGAGUCUCCCGGGUGGAUCAGGACUCCAGAGAAGUUCUGCAGAGCUGGAGCCUCCAGCAGGACGGGCCCGUCUCCUCCGUGCUGCUCUUCCCGCUGCCUCCAGAGCCACACGGUGCCCCUGAGGACUCCUGGAGCGUCCUGGUGACCAGUGCCCUGGAAGCCGCCGUCGUCUACAGG